UACGGAGGGUGCAAGCGUUAAUCGGAAUUACUGGGCGUAAAGCGCACGCAGGUGGCUGAGAAAGUCGAUUGUGAAGCCCUGGGCUUAACCUGGGAAUUGCAGUCGAAACUACUCGCUAGAGUAUGGGAGAGGGUAGUGGAAUUCCCGGUGUAGCGGUGAAAUGCGCAGAUAUCGGGAAGAACACCCGUGGCGAAGGCGGUUCUCUGGGACGGUACUGACGCUGAGACGCGAAAGCGUGGGGAGCGAACAGGAU
rnacentral:rRNA from 1 species